AACGAACGCUGGCGGCAUGCCUAAUACAUGCAAGUCGAACGAGAUCUUCGGAUCUAGUGGCGCACGGGUGCGUAACGCGUGGGAAUCUGCCCUUGGGUUCGGAAUAACAUCUGGAAACGGAUGCUAAUACCGGAUGAUGACGUAAGUCCAAAGAUUUAUCGCCCAAGGAUGAGCCCGCGUAGGAUUAGCUAGUUGGUGAGGUAAAGGCUCACCAAGGCUACGAUCCUUAGCUGGUCUGAGAGGAUGAUCAGCCACACUGGGACUGAGACACGGCCCAGACUCCUACGGGAGGCAGCAGUAGGGAAUAUUGGACAAUGGGGGCAACCCUGAUCCAGCAAUGCCGCGUGAGUGAUGAAGGCCUUAGGGUUGUAAAGCUCUUUUACCCGAGAUGAUAAUGACAGUAUCGGGAGAAUAAGCUCCGGCUAACUCCGUGCCAGCAGCCGCGGUAAUACGGAGGGAGCUAGCGUUGUUCGGAAUUACUGGGCGUAAAGCGCACGUAGGCGGUUAUUUAAGUCAGAGGUGAAAGCCCGGGGCUCAACCCCGGAACUGCCUUUGAGACUGGAUAACUUGAAUCCAGGAGAGGUGAGUGGAAUUCCGAGUGUAGAGGUGAAAUUCGUAGAUAUUCGGAAGAACACCAGUGGCGAAGGCGGCUCACUGGACUGGUAUUGACGCUGA
rnacentral:rRNA from 1 species